GAUUAACGCUGGCGGCGUGCAUAACACAUGCAAGUCGAACGAUAAAACUUAGUAGACUUCUUCUGAACGACAGUAAGCGGCGUAGGGGCGAACGGGAGAGUAACGCGUGAGUAUUCGGCCUUACACAAGGGGAUAGCCUUAGGAAACGAAGAAUAAUACCCUAUAAAAGCAUAAAAGCACAUGCUAGACUGGUCAAGGUGAUAGCGGCGUAAGAUGGACUUGCGUCUGAUUAGCUAGUUGGCGAGAUAAAAGCUCACCAAGGCAGCGAUCAGUCGCCGGCGUGGGAGAGUGUACGGCGACAUUGGGACUGGGACACGGCCCAGACUCCUGCGAGAGGCCGCAGUGGUGAAUUAUGCACAAUGGGGGAAACCCUGAUGCAGCGACGCCGCGAGAUUUAGCAGGCCUUUGUGUUGUAAAAAUCUUUUGUAUAGGGAGAGAAUGACGGUACUAUACGAAUAAGGACCGGCUAAUUACGUG
rnacentral:rRNA from 1 species